rnacentral:rRNA from 1 species
UACGUAGGGUGCGAGCGUUGUCCGGAAUUACUGGGCGUAAAGAGCUCGUAGGUGGUUUGUCGCGUUGUCCGUGAAAACUCACAACUCAAUUGUGGGCGUGCGGGCGAUACGGGCAGACUGGAGUACUGCAGGGGAGACUGGAAUUCCUGGUGUAGCGGUGAAAUGCGUAGAUAUUGGGAGGAACACCAGUGGCGAAGGCGGCUCACUGGACCGGUUCUGACGCUGAGGCGCGAAAGCGUGGGGAGCAAACGGG